AUUUUCUUGACAAUUAUUCUUUUUUGGCAAACUUUGAAAUUUGCAAAGUUUAUCUUUUUUUGACAGUAUAAUGUUGCAGAAGUUAAAUGUUCCCCAUUGUUGGCCGAGGUGUUGUUUUUGGGAGAGUCUCUUAAAUUUUCUUUUUUUUUGUCAGUGUUAUCUGGUUAGGAACUCCUAAUUUCUGACAUCAUACGAGAAAAGCUUACUCCUGAAGAAAUUGGAUCCCUUGCAUCCUCUUGGGGUUAUAGAGAUCAUUAAACGAGUAAUACUCGAGUCCGAUAAAUAUUUUGGUAGUUGGAUUUAAGUAAUAUUAUUGUAAUUAAUUUUUAUAAAAUAUCUUCAUUUGAAUACUGAGACAUUCAUUUUGAUCCAGCUUGCAUGAAAAUUAAAUUAAAUUUGGUCAUUAUCAACAUAAAAAACACGAGGGAAAGACUGAUGCAAGGUAGUUCAUUUUUGUUGAACUUAAUCAGUUUGGAAGUUUAUUUCUAUCUAAAUGGUGCUUAGAAAAAGUUAUUUCCACUUUAUCAGUGCUUUUAUGAAUGAAAAUUGUUUCGGGCAUAAAACGACUUAAUAUACAAUAUUCAUCCAUUCCAUUAAUUGUUUUGGAAUAUUAAUCUUUUUGAUAUUUCUCUUAAUCUGGAUAUUUAUUCUUCAGAUUUUUUGAUAGGAUGUAUUUUCAAGGAGGUGCGGUAGCCUUAAUUUAAGACUUAUCCUGACAAUACUUUGUCUCUAUCAUGGAAAAGUAAGCCCUGAUCCAUGUCUUUCAUAGUGUUAAGCAAUGCAUCAUUGAUAUAAAUUAAUUUACUUGUGUAAAUUCAUAUUCUCCUCAGUUGCUUUGACUAUUCGUUGUUCCAGGAUAAAUUUGUAUCUCUGGCAACCAAUUGCUAUUCACAUCAAUUUUUAAUGUAUCAGUAUGUGUCAAUUAAUGAGAAAAAGGAAUGUAGUAUCCAGGUAUUUUAUAUUAACGCAAAAAUACUUCUUGUUGACGCAUCUGUUGCCUUAUUGCAGAGUUUUGAAAAACCUCUUGGUUCGUCAUCACAAGUCUGCCAUGACUGUAAGGAGAUUGACAUUUAUUUAUUUAUUAUUUUGAUCAGUAGUAAAUAAUUUUAUCGAUGGUUUUUGAAUCUUUAAUUACUCCAUGCAAAGUUUUCAUUUACGAUUCUAAGAACUAGAAAAAAAAAGAUUUUGGUGUGCUAUUAAAGAAACAAUGAUACGAUUAGCCUUCACUACAGAAACCAAUAUGGAUUUUUCAACGAUUGAAUAAUUACAGUCACCUGUAUCCAGUCUGUUAGGCUAUGUAAUGCUGCACUUUUAAUACCGCAUAUACACAUACAUUUUUGGGUUCAAAUCAUAAGUAUUAUCCUGCAUCAACCUAACAAAGUUCGUUAAGCUUAUACCUUUGUCUUCUAAGAGAGCUAUUGAAGUAGCUUAUCAGCUUCUGGAUAUGUGACAACGGUUCAGAGUUCAUAGAUAAAGGUACCAUAGAGCAAAAACAUAAGUGGCCUCAACUCAAUGGUUUAUGGCCAGCAAAUACAUCCACAAAUCCAAGAAUUUCUUGAAAGGGCAAACAGUAAUAUCAAGGGCAUGCUAGUUGCUUGGAUGAAUGACAAUAACACUCAGGACUGCACAAUUGACCUCAAAUUUGUUGUGCAACAGGACAACAAAGUUGAUUUGACUUCAUCAUAUCUACUAUAUAAAAUGAUUAAAUAUGAAUAUGAUCUUCGGACGCUCCUUCAUCCCAUAUCAUCUACAGAACCUUCAACUGAAUCAGUGUCUGAUGUUGCUAGCGAAUCGUCUCUUUCCAUUAUUCACUUUGUAAAGACGUCGAUGAACCAUAUACUGCUGCCAAUGAGCCAUAUUUAUCGACACUAACUAUAGCGAACCAGAGUGAGGAAUGAGUUCCUAAGCAGUGUAGUGACAGUCCACAAAGAAAACGGACAGAAACAUCACAAUUCGUCAAGUUAGAAUAGCUUCUUGUGGCCAAGGAUUUUUCCAUUUUGACUGCAGUAGAAGCAAGAAUCAGUGCAGUGUCGGAAAAAUAGAUUCAAGUGCUAUAGAAUAAAUCAAAAAAAAAUAAAAUUGUAACAGCAAAUCUUAAUUGUUCAAAUAAAAACUAAUUUAAUGAAAUGAUAUUACUUUAAUUAUUGUGCUGAUAAUUAUAUAUAAUUGAGUCCAUGCUCAGCUUUACUUUUUAUUUUGUGUAUGGAUUACAUAAUCCAAAGAAUUCACAUAAAUGGUAGCAUUCUUCGUUAUCACGGAAAGUACCUUGCUUAUGCAGACGAUUAUACGAUGAUCUUCACAGGAAGCCCAUUACAAACAAAAAAUCUCUUAAGCAAACAAUUAGUUUUCUUAAAGAAUUUUUUCUUAAUUCAGGUACGAGUUCAACCCUGAGAAAAUCGAAAUAGUAAGCAAAUACAGUGGUAUAAUCGGAAAAGCAUGGCCAUAUUUUAAAAUUUCUAAGUCCAUAAAAAUAUUAGAUUUGUCGAAUUAUCUUUUCUUAUUCUCAAUUAUUUAUUUUUUAAAUCUCCACUAAGUAAUAAUACAUAAUACUCUCAAAUAUGGUGGCUGAUUAGUCUUGGACUUCAGUGACUCAUGGAAAUCUAUAAAUUCGUAUUGGAUCCGACAUGCAUAGUAUGAAGAAGAUUAUUGAGCGUCUAUCUUUUAGGAAUUUACGGCGGCAAAUACUUUGAACAAUCUUCAGAGCGGAUGAUGAAUAGUAUUGCUAACAUCUCUCAACGCUUCCUUCCAACAAUUAAAUGGGUUCAACGGAAUUUCAAACAAAUGGAUUAGAUAUUGCUACUUAAACUGAUAAUUCAAAGUUGCUCAUUAACUGGAUAACAUUUGAGCGUUAAAAAUUAUUUUAUGACAGUUUAACCCUAUAUCAAGUGUUUGGUAAGAGUUUUGACUGAGAAAAACUAUCCAAGAACCAACACUGAAUCUUUAUAACUAUUUGAAGAGAUGAAACGUUGAUUUUCCAACAACUUUAGUUAUUAAAGCUACAAAAAAUAUUAUGAUUUCUUCCUCUAAAAAGUUACGAAACGUACCCACUGGCACGUUUCGUGAAAAGUGAAGUCGAAGAUUUUUUGGAUGAGCAUCAAAAGUUUUGUUUUUACUGGAGCGAGAAUAAGUAUACUGAUAAUUUUUUAUACGAUUGUAAAUAUUUAAAUCCUACUAAUCAAUCUAUUACUGACCUUAUAAAUGAUUAAUUUUAAUAUAUUCAAAAGAAGCAAUUUUAUUUCUUAUUUCAUAUAAAAACCCACAAAUUUUCUCAUUGCAAAAAAAAAAAUUAAUAGCGUGAUUUGCAUGUUUUUUUUUCUCUCUAGAGUUUCUAUUAUUACUUAAAGUAUUUGUUUAUUUUAUUUCGCAUCAUCCAUUUUAAUCCCCCCCCCCCUCUCUGUCCCCUUUACAUAUGUUUUGUUUUUUAUGUGACUCUCCUUAGAACAUUUCAUUCGUGUUCUACUUUUGUUUUAUCGAUUACUUCUAUUAUUUUAUUAUUUAUAAAUGUCUUUUGGCCAAAAAAAGAAGAAAAAAAAUCCGACAGAGUAAAGGAUGUCACUGUAGAUAUUUAUAGACUUGACCCAUCAUAUUUUAACUCAUAAGAAGAGUGAAAAAAAUAAUUUUAUAACUCCCAAAAAAAAAAAAAAAAAAAAAAAAAAUUACAAAAUUACUAAGUUCCCUGAAAGAACUCUUAAAAAACAUUCGGAUUUUUUUCAACCUACAAAUUUAGAAAAAAUAACUUUAAAAAAAUAUUGAAUCUUAUUUAUAAAAGAUGGAAAUACUCCAAUUAUUAAUCUUCACAGUCCUGUAAAGAUAAAGUAAGAAAUUGAAUUUCAAUUAAAAAUGAAAUUGAUAAUGAAUAAAUCGCCAAUAGAAAAGUUAAUAUUUAUUUGGGGGAAAAAAAGGAAGAACAAGUUAAUUGGAAAAUGUAAAAGUUAAGGAAGAAAAAAAAAAUACUUAAGAAGAAGGUGAAGUAAUGGAGGAGAGACUCAGAGAGCAAAUGAUUAGACAAUUAUCAAGAAGAAAUUGAACAAGAAAAUUAAUGAAUAUAGGAAAAAUUACUUAAAAAGAACCCCCAAAACAAAUAGUUGAAAAAAAAUCUAAAAACAUCAGGAUAAAAAAGUUAGAAAUCUAAAUUAAAAAAAUAUAGAUGAUUAGGGAGAAAUGGAAAAGUAAAGAAAAUUGAAACAAGUAAAGAAACAAAAGGUAAAAUUACAGAAAAAAACCCCAAAAACAUCAAGAAAAAAUUUUUAAUGGUACAAAAUUCAAGAAAAUCAAAAAACCUCAGCAGAAAGGUUUUAAGAAAAUCCAAAAUGAAAAUGAUAAAGAAGAAAAAGAAUACUUUGGUUGAAUCAACUAAAUUAAAUGAAGAACCUGAAAAGCUUCUUAAAUUAUCAACAGUGUGUUUUGUCCUACCUAAAAAAGACUCUUGAAGAAUACGUCUUACCAGGACCACACAAAAAGGACCAUGAGGAAGUCCAAUGUAACAGUUACCUUUUUUAAACAUGUUACGGCAGAAACUUUGGUCACCACAUGGUCAGCAGAAACGGUCAAGAUUGGGGAAAAAUAAAGAAGAGUUCUUCUUAGAACAAAGGGAUCGACCCCUCUGCCAUUGAUGUAAAUUAUUUUUCAAAUUUCCCUUAACACAUGAAACCUGCAAAAUAUACAAAACAGCAGCUAAAGUGGAUGGAAAGGAAUAUUAGGAAUUUGGAAAGGUUGUUAAAUUGUAAGGAACCCUCGUCAUCGUUACCUUGUUGGUGGAGUCUACUAAAAUGUUAUUGGUCCACCUUAAGAAACUUUUAGCUUCCACAACUGCGAUAAGAUAUGGAAAUUAUGUCAAACAUUUCUUAUAGUAUUUCAAAAAGGGGGCCCUGACUUUUAAGUGGACAGAUUUGAAAAACAGGCCAAUUUGAGGCUACACAUUUUAAAUAUUAUAAGGUCCAAAGAACUAAUUGUCUGACAAAUGUUUGUGGAUCCUCUCAAAUUUAGAGUCAAACCCAGAAUGUCUCAAGGAUGUGUUCCAAAAUAUCUUUGAGGAAGAGUUUCCACUAGUGUGGAUCUUCUCCACAAAAAAGAAGAGAAAAAUAAAUCCGAAGUAAUACCAACAGAAAUAUUGGCGAUUUUAACAUUAUACUUUAAGAAGAUGGGAAGAUGGAAAUAGAGACGGAGAAGGAAGCUUUGAAAAAUGAAUUUUUUUUCGGAUAGUCAUCUUAGUAUCAAACAAAGUAAAGUAAAAAGUUGGUCUGCUUUAAA
rnacentral:lncRNA from 1 species